rnacentral:rRNA from 1 species
UACGGAGGGUGCGAGCGUUGUCCGGAAUCAUUGGGCGUAAAGGGCGCGUAGGUGGCCACUUCAAGCGUGCGGUGAAAGUCGGGGGCUCAACCCCUGAUCGGCCGUGCGAACUGGGGGGCUGGAGCACUGUAGAGGCAGGCGGAAUCCGGGUGUGAGCGGUGGAAUGCGUAGAGAUCCGGAAGAACACCGGUGGCGAAGGCGGCCUGCUGGGCAGUUUGCUGACACUGAGGCGCGACAGCGUGGGGAGCAACAGGG